rnacentral:rRNA from 1 species
AUAUAAUGUAAUGCCUACAUUGUUAAUGCAUUGGAUCCCAUUAGAAAUCCAUAGUUAAGUGCGCUUGGGAUAGAGUAGUAUUGGGAUGGGUGACCUGUCGGGAAGUCCUCGUGUUUUCCAUG